rnacentral:rRNA from 1 species
UACAGAGGUCCCGAGCGUUGUUCGGAUUCACUGGGCGUAAAGGGCGCGUAGGUGGCUUGGUAAGUUUGAUGUGAAAUCUCCGGGCUUAACCCGGAAAAUGCAUUGAAUACUAUUUGAGCUUGAGGAUUGGAGGGGGGACUGGAAUUCUUGGUGUAGCAGUGAAAUGCGUAGAUAUCAAGAGGAACACCAGUGGCGAAGGCGAGUCCCUGGACAACACCUGACACUGAGGCGCGAAAGCUAGGGUAGCAAACAGG